AGUGAACGCUGGCGGUAGGCCUAACACAUGCAAGUCGAACGGCAGCACAGUAAGAGCUUGCUCUUACGGGUGGCGAGUGGCGGACGGGUGAGGCAUACAUCGGAAUCUACUUUUUCGUGGGGGAUAACGUAGGGAAACUUACGCUAAUACCUCAUACAACCUACGGGUUAAAGCAGGGGAUCUUCAGACCUUGCGCGAUUGAAUGAGCCGAUGUCGGAUUAGCUAGUUGGCGGGGUAAAGGCCCACCAAGGCGACGAUCCGUAGCUGGUCUGAGAGGAUGAUCAGCCACACUGGAACUGAGACACGGUCCAAACUCCUACGGGAGGCAGCAGUGGGGAAUAUUGGACAAUGGGCGCAAGCCUGAUCCAGCAAUACCGCGUGGGUGAAGAAGGCCUUCGGGUUGUAAAGCCCUUUUGUUGGGAAAGAAAAGCAGCAGGUUAAUACACCGAUGUUCUGACGGUACCCAAAGAAUAAGCACCGGCUAACUUCGUG
rnacentral:rRNA from 1 species